rnacentral:tRNA from 1 species
UCUCUGGUGGUCCAGUGGUUAGGACUCCACGCUUUCACUGUGGAGGCCCAGGUUCAAUCCUUGGUUGGGGAA